GGCCUCUCUCCCAUGCGAUUGUGGGGGGUCCCUUUCCUCCUCUGCCAAGGCUGAAAGCCAAUAUCAGCCCUCAAGGAUCAUCAUCACGACUGCCGCAAGCUGGGCAGCCUUGUUUUCCUAUCUCAGACGCUU
ensembl:scaRNA